rnacentral:rRNA from 1 species
UAUUGCGACAAUGGGCGAGAGCCUGACGCAGCAACGCCGCGUGCGGGAUGACGGCCUUCGGGUUGUAAACCGCUUUUCAGGGGGAAGAAAAUGACGGUACCUCCAGAAGAAGCACCGGCCAACUACGUGCCAGCAGCCGCGGUAAUACGUAGGGUGCGAGCGUUAUCCGGAAUCAUUGGGCGUAAAGAGCUCGUAGGCGGUUCAACAAGUCGGCUGUGAAAGUCCGGGGCUCAACCCCGGAAUUGCAGUCGAUACUGUUGUGACUUGAGUCCGGUAGAGGAGAAUGGAAUUCCCGGUGUAGCGGUGGAAUGCGCAGAUAUCGGGAGGAACACCAGUAGCGAAGGCGGUUCUCUGGGCCGGCACUGACGCUGAGGAGCGAAAGCGUGGGGAGCAAACA